rnacentral:tRNA from 2 species
AGAAGUUUAGGUUAAUCCAGACCAAGGGCCUUCAAAGCCCUAAGUAAAUAAUAACUAUUUAGCUUCUG